UGCGACUUGUGAGCACAAGCGAACCAUUAUUUUGCCUUUUUUCUAAAGAAUACCGUGUGCUUGUGAUAUAUAGUGGUAUACACUUAUUUUCAUAGAGUCCCUUCUUAUACUUAAGGGCU